CCUGCAUGGCCCUGCGUCCAGCAAUCAGAGAAUGGGUAGAAAUCAUUCGUGGCCAGAGCAAAAAGGGAGAAUUCUGUAACGCUGGACAUACAUGCAACAGCUUUCAAUAAUCUAACAAGGAACCUUGGACUAAAGGGACCGAACAGUACAGGAGGGAGAAAUCAAAACGAAUUGCUGAGUUUUGGUCCAAACCUGGCUUCCACGACAACACCUUGGAGAAACACAGAGAAGUGAUUGCUUCUGGCAGUUAUUGACUUUUUGUUGUCUUUUCCAAAGCUGCAUAGCAAACACUCUUUUCUUUACAUGCAUCAUUAUACUCCUUUUCAGUGCCAUGAACAAAGAAGGAUAAGUCAGAGCCAUGUAAAGAAAUGCUAGAAUCCAUGUUGAGGUUGAAAAAUCUAUAACAAAUUGAUUUUUUUUACUUAUUAUACAUGGAGAUUUUGACACAAGAAGCAUGUUUUUACUUUGGCAAACUUUGUCUUGGCCUCUCUUUAAGCAUUUCAGUCUCUGAACUUAAUGUCUCAUAAAAAUAGGUCUUAAAAGACCUGGGUCUGGCUUCUCUAGAGCCUGUUCAAAGCUCCCACUAAGACUGAAGUUCUGCAAAUUGCUUACGCCUCCACAGGAUGAAUCGGUUGUGAGCGGAAGUUAUUCAAAUAAAAACUGUUCUGGUA